rnacentral:lncRNA from 1 species
CCGUGACUCUCCCUGAACGCCUCUGCCUCAAAGACUACACUUCCCAUUGACCCCUGCAGUGACUUCCGCGUCUGGCGUCAGCGGCCCUGCGACGGGCGGUAGUGACGUGUCAGAGGAGCUCGAUUUUUGCUUGUGGUCCUGGCUGGCGGUUUCUGUACCAGACUUCUUCUUGGUUUAUUCUUGCUGCAGCUGUGGGGUUGGAUACCUGCGCCCGUACUCUGAAGAGCUCUCCUCAGCUGAGCACAUGGAACAUCUGCAAUGAAGAUGCUCAUCAGAAAGCCCAGGACAUAAGCUUCAAAAUCCCAGUCUGUACCCCUUCUUCCACCUCUCCCCAGGAAACAGACCUUCCUGCUCAUUAGCUUGGGAAAUGUACACUGGCCAAGGAAUUCUUCUCAUGAAUCGCUUAAGGAAUGCACUGGGGCUGAAGUGUAAAAGUCACUCUUUAAAUUUAAUCUUAUUUAUUGGUACUGGGGAUUGAAGCACUGAGCUACAUCCCCAAUUCUUUUCAUUUUUAAUUUUGAGACAGUCACACCCUGAGAAGUGAGUUGCUGAGGCUGGCCUAGAACUUGAAAUUCCCACCUCGGGCUGGGGAUGUGGCUCAAGCGGUAGCGCGCRGCCAUGCUUGCGGCCUGGGUUCAAUCCUCAGCACCACAUACAAAGGAAGAUGUGUCUGCCGAAAACUAAAAGAAUAAAUAUUUUUAAAAAUUCUCUCUCUCUCUUAAA